rnacentral:misc_RNA from 1 species
UAAUAAGUGUUUUAUGGCACUUUUUAAAUCCAUAUCCACCUUGUGUGCAAUGUCAGUCGAUCUUCUUCAUGGAGAUCGACCAAACAUCAACCUUUAUUUUUAACUCUUUGUCUGAAAAAUAUUAUGAAUAACAAUUCAAAAUA